rnacentral:rRNA from 1 species
UACGAAGGGGGCUAGCGUUGCUCGGAAUUACUGGGCGUAAAGGGAGCGUAGGCGGAUGUUUAAGUCGGGGGUGAAAGCCCGGGGCUCAACCCCGGAACUGCCUUCGAUACUGGGCAUCUAGAGUACGGGAGAGGUGUGUGGAACUCCGAGUGUAGAGGUGAAAUUCGUAGAUAUUCGGAAGAACACCAGUGGCGAAGGCGGCUCACUGGCCCGGUACUGACGCUGAUAUGCGAAAGCGUGGGGAGCAAACAGG